rnacentral:rRNA from 1 species
UACGUAGGGUGCGAGCGUUGUCCGGAAUUACUGGGCGUAAAGAGCUCGUAGGUGGUUUGUCGCGUUGUUCGUGAAAACUCACAACUCAAUUGUGGGCGUGCGGGCGAUACGGGCAGACUGGAGUACUGCAGGGGAGACUGGAAUUCCUGGUGUAGCGGUGAAAUGCGCAGAUAUCAGGAGGAACACCGGUGGCGAAGGCGGGGUCUCUGGGCAACAACUGACGCUGAGGAGCGAAAGCGUGGGGAGCGAACAGG